rnacentral:rRNA from 1 species
AUUGAACGCUGGCGGCAGGCCUAACGCAUGCAAGUCGAACGGUAACAGGAAGCAGCUUGCUGCUUCGCUGACGAGUGGCGGACGGGUGAGUAAUGUCUGGGAAGCUGCCUGAUGGAGGGGGAUAACUACUGGAAACGGUAGCUACUACCGCAUAAUGUCGCAAGACCAAAGAGGGGGACCUUCGGGCCUCUUGCCAUCGGAUGUGCCCAGAUGGGAUUAGCUUGUUGGUGGGGUACCGGCUCACCAAGGCGACGAUCCCUAGCUGGUCUGAGAGGAUGACCAGCCACACUGGAACUGAGACACGGUCCAGACUCCUACGGGAGGCAGCAGUGGGGAAUAUUGCACAAUGGGCGCAAGCCUGAUGCAGCCAUGCCGCGUGUAUGAAGAAGGCCUUCGGGUUGUAAAGUACUUUCAGCGGGGAGGAAGGGAGUAAAGUUAAUACCUUUGCUCAUUGACGUUACCCGCAGAAGAAGCACCGGCUAACUCCGUG